rnacentral:rRNA from 1 species
AUUGAACGCUGGCGGCAGGCCUAACACAUGCAAGUCGAGCGGAUGAAGGGAGCUUGCUCCUGGAUUCAGCGGCGGACGGGUGAGUAAUGCCUAGGAAUCUGCCUGGUAGUGGGGGAUAACGUCCGGAAACGGGCGCUAAUACCGCAUACGUCCUGAGGGAGAAAGUGGGGGAUCUUCGGACCUCACGCUAUCAGAUGAGCCUAGGUCGGAUUAGCUAGUUGGUGGGGUAAAGGCCUACCAAGGCGACGAUCCGUAACUGGUCUGAGAGGAUGAUCAGUCACACUGGAACUGAGACACGGUCCAGACUCCUACGGGAGGCAGCAGUGGGGAAUAUUGGACAAUGGGCGAAAGCCUGAGCAAGCCAUGCCGCGUGUGUGAAGAAGGUCUUCGGAUUGUAAAGCACUUUAAGUUGGGAGGAAGGGCAGUAAGUUAAUACCUUGCUGUUUUGACGUUACCAACAGAAUAAGCACCGGCUAACUUCGUG